CUCUCUCUCUCUCUCCAUAAUGAGCAUAUUGGAUUAGCCAUUUUGUCUUUGUAAACUGCAAUGUAAGAUAUUUACCAUUUUUGCACUCUGUUGAUUCCUAGGUAGUCUUACAGGGAGCCAUUAGUGCACCUAAGUUUUCAAUGAAAGGCCCUUCAAUGGUCCAUUCCUUUUUUCUGCUGCAUUUCCCCUGAACUUGAAGCAUCACCAAAGGACUUGUGGCUUGCUCUGGGAUUAGCCGAAUUCGUUUGCCAACCUACACCAAAUGAAGCCACAGCAAAACAAAACAAAAAAGUGGUAAAUCUCGCGGCCUUAGUGACGAGGACUUCAUCCAGCAUCAAACUCUGACGACGUAAAAUCUAUCACUUCCCUUCCUUUGUCCACUGAAGGGGAGGAUGAUUUUUUGAUCUGGCACCACUGCCAGAACGGUACAUAUUCAGUUAAAUCGGGAUACGAGCAAGGCGCAAGUCCUUCUUCUUCUCAAGCACAAACAUAAGGCCAAACCAUCAAAUGAAAGUCCCAGGUGGUGUCCACCGGGUGAAGGACACUGCAAAAUCAACUGCGAUGCUAGUUUCAAAGGAGUGCAAAGGGCUUAUAUGGCUUGUCAAAUGGUCUCUGCCCAUAAUUUAUCAAAAGUGGUGAUAGAGAGUGAUUGCAAGUUGAUCAUUGAUCUUUGUGUAUCUGAGAAUGUUCCCCUCUGGGAAUCAUCAGUUAUCUUUGCAUUUAUUUAUUAUAACCCGCAUUUGUAUCAA